AGAGACGUCUUACUAAAGGGCUCUUGGCAAUUGGUGCUAUAAAUUAUCUGAAAUUAUUUAAAUGUAAUUACCUUAUAGCCUAGUCCAGCUGCUACACAGACGUUAAGGUAAGUGGAUAUAGGAUUGCAGUCAUGGUAUAGGAAAUUGUUUCUGUUGUUAAGGAGUGAUUAAGUCUUGUAAAUAUGGGUUGUUACUGAACACUUUUAUAUGCUUUCCUGAGAAAUUUCUUGGCUUGUGCAUUCUACUCAAACAGAGGAAGCCCUCUUCCCAAAGUCUUUCAAAGCCAAGGAAACGAAGAUUGUAGUUUUUCUGUGAUAAGUUAAGCUUCUCCUCAGAUUAGUUUACAAUUUAAAGGCUCUGCUUUUGUUCUCUAAUAAUUGUUUAAUAAUGAGACUUAUUGGUGGUCUCAGUGGAGAAAAAAUUGCAGCAGUUCAAAAUGUCAGAAUGUCCAGCUUCUGAAGUUUAGCAUAAACUGGAAAAUGCAAUGCGUGUAGUUCUGCUCUUGCACUCUGUAUUACGAGGGACAGUUUUUGUCUGGUUGUUUUCAAAUGCUGUUUCAUCUUCUUUGAUUGGUUUUUCAAAGUCUCCUGUACAACAAAUCUGAAACAAGUCACACAUUGCUGAAGGUAGCUUGUUUUUAUCAGUAUGAUUUGAGAGAGAUUGUCUGCCCAUAUUUACUAAAUGAUGGCUAGCGAGGUUCUCUUUCAACAGAAGUAUUUCCUGUCACCGUGCUGUACUCCAGCUCCCCACUCACCUGUACAGAAUGUAUGGCCUAUAUGAAUGUUUUAGGUAAUGGAUUUUUCUCUGUAAACCAUAAUUUUCAUGAGGGAGUAGAACCAUUGUCUAUUAAUGCUACAGUUUAUUUAGGAAAUGAAAGUUGAACUACAGUAUAGAAUCAAUGCAAUUAUUAGGGUUGGGGGGUAUUGAAAUAUAACUAUUAUGGCCAGCAACUUUUUUGCUUCAGCAAAAGCUUUGAUUUAGAUGUACUCCACCCUUUCAAGGGGUUUCGUUCACCCUCCUUAUACAUUUGGGAAGGGGCAAAGAGUCAAGAUAGAGGCCACGACUGCACAAUUGAAGCCCUACCCCUUUGUUAUGUUCAUUGUGACACAUAAAAAGGGAUGGGGCUUAAAUUAAGCUGCUGCAACUGCCAUCUUGACUUUUUAAUCCCCCCACCCUCCAGAUGGUCAUCAUGUGGUCAUUAUGAUUCAGAAAUAGCACUUUCCUGUUUAUCAUUUUUCCUAAAAGUAAGUGAACUAUUUCUUUAGAUUAACUUUCAGGAACUUCAGUUGAGUUAUUUGAUGUUGUAUUAUAGAAUGAGGCUACAGUACUUGAUGGGCUAGAAGGAAAGGGCUAUUGCAUGCAUUAAUAUUCCCUUGGCCUGGCUCUUGGUGACAUGGGCUACCUGAAUAGAUGGUCCCCAUGGAGGCUGUCAGGGGCCAUACUGAAGGAUGGGUUAUGCCGAUUGGAUGAACUGAAUCUUGCCAUCUCAUGAAAGAUGAAAGACAUCCUCACAACAAAAAGUAAGCCAUUAUUUCUCUUCAUUUAAAUAAUUUUGAUCUACUAUUUAAGUAGGAUGCUUAGUAGUUCUUAGUGUAUAUCCACUUGUUUGGGAAACAAGAAGAGUAAAAUUGGCUGCCAACACUAAAUAAGCAUUACCCAUUUAAGGACCUUUCAGACAAUUCUGGCUUCAUUGUUACAUGAUAAUAAGGGGCUGUCCAGAAUUUGCCUUAGCAAUGCCAAGUAGCCCCAGUUGGAUCAUGACUGGAAUAAAGCUGCAUACAUUAAAUGUAUGAUAGAAGUAGCCUGUGUUUUAUUACACACAUAAUCUUUCUGUCAUUUGUUAUAUAUUUGUUAUGUUUUAUUUUGCUUUGCUUUGUUCUGCUUCUGCUCAAUUUGCUCCCUUAUAUCAGAUUAGAACUCCUGGAUUAAAUGUGUUAAGUAUUCUCUCAUCAGCAUUCUUUGCCAUUUCUGACACUGGGGCUUCAGGAAAAAAACUCUUUAGCACUACAGUAGGGGAUCUCUCUGCAGGAGGUCAGAGAAAUUUAAACAGAAAUAUUUCACAUUAUUAAGCAGUAGCUGACAGUUUGUGAUAUCAUUGUGCCUGUGUUCCACGGUUUUUGACUAGCUUCCCUUAAUUGUUACUGAAUAACUACAGCUGUCUGUCCUGUUUAAUUUCAGCUUCAGAAUGGUAUAGAUACCGAACAUCUGUAAGUGGAGCAACUCUAAGCACAAUUAUAAAUGGUUCUGUAAAAUUAAUUUUAAAAAACCUGCUUUGUUAGACAAGUUAGCCCAGAUUUCUCAAAUUCCCAGGACUGGUCCAGUAUUAACUCUUACCCCAAAUUCAUAAUGAGCAAAGAUCAGUAGCAAUAUGGAAAAUUGAGUAAAAUUACUCUAUUUUUUGUGCAUAUGUGCUGCCUGCAUAAAUGUCAUAGUCUUGCAUAAUAGCUGUGUUAAUGAGGCUGGAAGCUUACUAACUCAGUACAAUUUUUUUUGGAAAUGAACAUAAGAUUGUGCUGUAAAAAAGGUAAGAUUCCGUUUGCAUUAAGUAGUGCCAUGAUGCAUCAGUCUAGGACCAGCUUUGUCCAUAUAUAAUCAGUCAGUGUAUAACUAAUUAGGGAACCUAUAGCUUUUCAUGUAUUGCUGAAUUCCAUCUGCAUUAGUGAUGAUCAGGUAUAGUAGGAGUUACAAGUCCAACAUUUAUUGAUUCCACACACUUGAUAUUGAAUUAGUACUAAAAUAAAUAAAGGAUAGAGGACUGUUUUAGAUUAAAGGGUCUUUGUCAUUAAGAUUACUUUGGUUUGUUGCGGAAGGCUCCUCAAAGGGCAACUUGGAUAUUGAAAAGAUGAGCUAAUCAUAGUGAAGAAUUUUUUUAAAAAACCUUAAUGUCAGUUCACAACUUAAGAGAUCACAGUGCUUCACGGUGCAAUCUGUUUGCUGAGAGGUAAAUUCCAUUAUAUUUAUUGAGCUUUACUAAUUCCUAAUUUAUUAUUGCAGCCUGAAUGUAUCCUAAUGAAAUUAGUGGAAUUGGAAAAAAAAAUAUUGGAAUCUGUGCAAGCUUGCCAUGAGAAUUCCAACAUAGAUAUGGGUGAUUCCUGUAUCUUCUUCUUUCUAUAAAAAGGUAUUAUGACUACAGAACAUUUUAUACUGACUUCCAUGUAAGCUGCCCUUACACAGAGUACUCUUGGACUUUAAAAAUAAAAUUAAAUAGUCACUGGAGACAAGGGAAGAGAUGCUACAUAUUUUCCAUGCUUCUGUUCUCUUUGUUAAGUUGUGCUGUUUUCCUCCAUGACUUCUAAGAAGAAAAAACGAAUAGUGGACAAAGAAUUAAGCAAUUUGUCUUCCUUUGUUUUUCACAUUUAGAUUUCUUUUCAUCAUGCAGCCUGGCCUGGUUUGUAUAAUACAUUACUUAGAAAGGGGGUUAAAGCUUCUGUCUUUUUUAUCUUGAACACUAUUUAAAAAAUGAAGUUAAGAAUUAGACUUACGAAGCACAAUGGAAUAGAUGUCCCGUGUAUAAAAGUGGUGCGAUUGACAGCAAAGCUAUUCUUAGUACCCUUGUUCAGGAUUUUCUAUUAUUUGUCCCUGAAAAAGAAUCUUCAGUUCAGUGAAGGAUAGCUAUCGAUAGGCCCUUAGGAUUCAGCUUGGCAUAAUGUUUGUAAGUUAUACGGCACAACUAUUUGAUGUAUCAGAAACGUACCUUUGUCUAGGAUAAAGCAAUAAUCUUUUGUUGAUCUGUUACAUAGUGCAGGUAUCUUUUUUUCAACAAAUUGGCCAGCCUCAUAUUCAAAGACAGUUUAUUGUAAAGAGGCAUGAUCUAAAGAGUGUUCACACAGUCUGCAUACUAUCUGUCCUGACUCAUGACACUAUCUCAACCACCUGGAUUUGUUUGGGUGUCUUACUGAAAAGGGAACUAGAGAAGUAUUAGGUGAAAUUAAGUAAUACCUUAACCGGUUGCUCUAAGUAGUCUGUAAAGACUCUGAUAGUCGCGGUUUUGAUUUAGUCAUUCGCCUGCUUGAAAAUGACAUGGAGUACUAUUUUUAACUUCUGAUUUGCUGGCAUGGCAGAAAUUGGUGGUGUGUGAUAUGGCUGCAUGUAGAAUGUACUUGUCAUAGUUAUUUUCCAACACUGACGUGAAAAUAUUCCAUAUACAGUAAGUGGUAGAAGAAUCACUGCGUAAGCUGUUAAAUAGACAUAAAAGACAUGUUUCUCAUGCAAACCCAACCAAAAAAUACAGAAGCGGCUAAGCCCCCUAAUCUUGGCAUAAUGCCAUUCGUUUCCAUACCACUUUUAAGGGGAGUGUCCCAGUGGGCUGUAUCUUGCCUCUGCCUUUGUAAUAGAGGCACUGGGAUGUAAACUUCUAUAUGUGAGAUUUCAUUCUCUGCUACAUUUAUUUGGCCCCAUUAAAAUAAGUAGAACAUUUGCUGCUGUUUUGAAUGAUACAAGGAUAUUGACUCUCAGCAUAACUCUAUCUAGAUUCUCUGACUACAUGCACGAUCAGCCAGUAGGUAUUUCUUUUCUGAUUACUGUAAUAUUUAAGAUAUUGAUUAGUUUGAUAUCAGAAGAAAUAAAAGGACUUAAUUCCAAGCAAAUAUAUUUAGGAUUGGGGUGACAGAAGUCUCAGGAAUAUAUUUUAACAGAUUAUAUGUAGCUUUGAUAUAAAGAGUGUUUUGACCUAAACAAACCUGCUUUCUGUCAAUGCCCAGUGAUUUCCAUCCUGCAUUUUAAAUUGACAAAAUAAAUAAGCAGCAAAGUAUUUUGCAUACAAGAUAAAAAUUCUAGUCAUUUGACUUCACUGUAUAUACAAACAUACAAAGAAGUAAAGGUAAAAAUUAGGACUUAAAAUAUUUAUGAAUGCUAAAGAUGGGGAGGUUUAUCUUAGAACAAUUAUUUCAUGUGUGUGAGAGAAUAAGCUUCUUCUAGGAUGAGUACUACAGGGAGUUCUCACUUAGUGACUGCCUUGUUUAGCAACUUAGCAAUUACUAUGGUGAUAAAAAAGUAACUUUGCAACCAGUCCUCACAUAUACGGCCUUCACAGCUCUGUAAAGCAAAGGAAAGCUGAAGAAAGAUCGUAAGCAAAACAUGGUUUCACUUAGUGACUGCUUUGCUUAACAACCAAGUUGCCAGUCCCAAUUGUGGUCACUAAAUGAGGACUGCCUGCACUACACAUUUCAAAAUACGCAUUUUUUUUCCUGUGGAAGUCAUUUUUUGUUGUGCAUUUAUUCAGCUGCUCAAUAGCCUUAAUAAGAAAUGCAUUGUACAUAAGUCCCAAUUCAUUCUUUCAUAUUAUAAACAAAUUAUGCCCAUAAUUACAUCUACACAAUGAAUUUGAUUUGUUGGCAUGCAUUUAAAACAGCACUAUCCACUGGGGAGGGGGGAAUCUGUGAAUGGUGGGUGCUGUGUCCCAAGCCCUGUCCCUUUUGUACAUGUGUCUGUACAUGAACACAAAAGGGAAGGGUGUGGAUCAUGAUACUAUGCCUUCAACCAUACAAACACAGUGAAGCCCUUCUCUGAGCCUGUAAAUAAUGUGCAGAGCCUGUAGUAUAUGGAAAGGAAAAAAGGUGGCAUGAUCCAAAACUGGAUUGGGAAAAUAAGAAAUCUGGCCCACUGCCAGCUGUCCAGAACAUGGUUGUAAAGGAACCCAUGUUGCCUGAUCUGGAAAGAUGCUCAAAUGUGUGCUCUUCAUGUAAAAAAUAAAUAAAAAAUAAUCUGCUACAGCAAAUGACUAAUUCAGUAACUUACCUAAUUUGGUACACUUCCAUUCUGUACAAUCUAUUCCAUAACUUUUACCAUCUUGCAUGCUUUCUAUCUACCCUCUAUUAAGCAGGAGAAAGUAUAGAGAGGUACCAAGGGCCUCCUUUCUGAUUUUUGGAAAUUUUAUUUACAAAUGUUGCUAUUCUUCUGACAUUGGAAAUAUUGUACUUUUUGUUGUUUAUAUCUUCAUAAAGAUUGAACUGACCUUCGCAUCAGUGCCAGAUUUGGUAGCUUAGCAUUACAGAAUACCUUUGGUAGUCUUAAUUCUCCACACUUUGGGAUAUCCUUCUGACAUCUUAAGUUUAAUUUUUGUUCUCUUUUGAAUGUGUCCUGCUUGUUGUGAAAUGCCUACCAUCCAUUAAAUAAUAGAAAGGUUUUCAUAAAUAGUGUCAUCUUUUUAUAAAUGGUUACAGCUCUGAGCUAUGGUGGAAUGUCAAAAAUGUUACACCUUUUUUUUUACCAGAUACCUGCAAAAUGCUUUGAUUAAUGUUUAGGUUCUAAUGCAGUUAAGGCUAAUUUCAAAGCUUUGCCUGUUACUGAACAUUUAACACAGUCGUUUUUGCAAUCACUGUUAACUUGUUUCUGCCAUUUUCUUUUAAGACUUCAUAUACAAGUGUAUAAAUCCACUGUUGGAAUUCUGCAUGUUAUCUAUGUGCAAUAUUUCUAACUCUGUUUCUGAGAAAUGUUAUAUGUUACAAUUGUGUUAAUUACUUACAUGGUUUAUUUUAGCUAAGUUGGGUGGUGUGAAUAUAUAAAAAAUAAAAGGCGAAUUCCUUUUUGCUUGUAGGGUUUUUGGGGUGGGGGUGGGGGUAAAUUAAACCUGAAAUUGUUAAAGGUAGAGGGGAAUUAUUAAAUUAGGAUUUGUAAUAAUUUACUUUUUGUAAUUUUGUAAAAAAAAUAAAUGAUACUUUUAUUUUAAGGUUCUACUUUUGUAAGUAAUAUACUGACAUGGGGCACAAUCUGUCAGAAGCACAUCCUGCUUUUAUCUCAUUGAAAUUUGGGAAAGAACCCUACCUCCUUCAUCUUAUUUUUCAAACUUCAGCAGGGUAAAUUUCUCAUAUAUUGUGCCCGUGAUGUCUAUUAUUUUAUAAGGAGAAGUUAUUUAAAACCACUGUCUAAUAUACUAUAAAAUUCAAACUUCCUGUAUCACUUUAAAGCUAUCUUGAUGCCAGAAUCUUGUUGUUAAAUGUUGUGUUUUAACAUGUGUAAUUCUUGAUAUGCAUUAAAAAGAUGUUGAUUAUGGA